rnacentral:tRNA from 1 species
GCGAUGUCAGUAUGGCCGAGUGAUUAGGGCGCUAGACUUGAACUCCUUUGUCGAUAUCUAGUUCAUUCGUGAUCCUAGGUUCGAACCCCAGUGCUGACGU